UUGAGGUUAGUGAUGGAAGAGGUUCCUUAGAUGAAAGUAUAUUUCAUUUGGUGUAGGAGUCAGGGUCGUCUGAGUACCAUCGUGGUGUACCUGCUAAUUUUAAAAAUGUGGGAAGAAAGUGAUGUUUACUCCAAUAAACAUGAUAUAGAAGUGAGAUUUAGUAUAUUGUUGAUUUAAGGAUAAACCUGUAAUUAGAGGGGGGGGAAUCAGUGAGUUUAACAAUAU